rnacentral:rRNA from 1 species
UACGAAGGGGGCUAGCGUUGUUCGGAUUUACUGGGCGUAAAGCGCACGUAGGCGGAUCGACCAGUCAGGGGUGAAAUCCCAGGGCUCAACCCUGGAACUGCCUUUGAUACUGUCGAUCUGGAGUAUGGAAGAGGUGAGUGGAAUUCCGAGUGUAGAGGUGAAAUUCGUAGAUAUUCGGAGGAACACCAGUGGCGAAGGCGGCUCACUGGUCCAUUACUGACGCUGAGGUGCGAAAGCGUGGGGAGCAAACAGG